CCCUCACUCGCACUCUCUUCUUCAGCACAUUCUCACACUCGAAUCAGAACGCUCCCAUCAACGGCCUCUUCCCUUUUGAACGUUCGUUGCGGAAACCAAACGCUAGAUAAUUACCAAGCAAUCGGAGGAAGAGAGAGCAGAAUCGAAAGAAGUUUCUCGCCUCCUCUUGAUGAUGAAAAAUCAAGAAGAGAGGAGGACGAGGAACUCUUAUGUCAUUGCGAUUGGUUCCGAUAACAGGAGGGGAAGAACAAAGCAGUUUCUCUUUAUGAAGCGAUUACUUGGGCAAAAGAAAAGCAGUUGGUCCUGUCAUGGAGGCCGGUGGGAUUUUUGCAUCUACUAGAAAUACUGGUUUUGAAUUUGCUCUUAUGAACAUUCCUCUAGGUCAUGAACGAUAUGAGAGAUAUACUAGUGCCUGGGUCAAUUUUUGAGACUCAUUUGAGUCCAGGACAAAGUGAUUGAAGUCAAAGGACGGUCCGGUUCAUGUAAAGUCUGUUGUAAACAAUAAAUAUAACCACACAACCCACUAAGAUGGAAAUUGAGGACAUAGAUGGAGAUAACAAAGUUGAGGUCAAGGAAUACAACUCCGGUUGCUACUUUCAACAUUCUUGGUAAGAAAUUUUCUAUUUGACAUCAUAAACUACCUUAUGCGUGGACUAGAUCUCACGAGAAUUACGUUAUUGGCAAUGUUGUGGUCUUAAUAAGGUUAGGUUCCUAUUCCUAUAUUUAAUCUUUAUUAUAUCUUUGUUUUUUCUUUUUGAUGUUCCUUGUGUUCUACUAAUAAUAUCAUGUUUUUGGUUCAAGAGUACGAUUAAAUUACAUUUUCUGUUUUCUGGGUGUUUUAGGGAGUUAGUGAAUUUCUUUAUUGUCUAAAGAGUUCUUGUGGUUCUCUUUCAAUUGGAAAUAUUGAUUGAGCAACUAAGUUAGGAGGUUUAGGGUUAAGUGAGAAAAAUGGGCUGUAAAGAUUUGUAAAUUGGAGGAAUCCCUAAGAUGAUGGGACAAAGGCACUUCUUAGAUUCGUCGUCGAUGGGUUUCCAUGAUGAAUUAAAUGAAAAUUUAACAUUAGGUAUUAUGCACAUAAAGAAGAACUUUAUCAUAAAGGUAUGAUGCAAGAAGGAACAAAAGAAGAGAUUAAGGUUUAUAAGGACAUGUCGGAGAAGGAAGAACAUAAUUAAGGAAAAUUAAACAAGACAAUGAAAGAAUAUCGAACUUCCCAGAUUGAAAGAUAUUUAGAGGAGGAGAAUUUGUAGAUUAAGACCCGGAAGGUUAAGGGGCCGAUGAGAAUUUGUAGAUUAAGACCUGGAAGGUUAAGGGGCCGAUAGAAGAGAUGAAGGUUUAUAAGGACAUGCCGGAGAAGGACCAACUAUAAAGGUACCCUCAAUAAACUUGGAAGGACAUACCUAGUAACAAUUACAACAAGUCAAGCUAAGAAUAGCGAACUUGGAGUUUGUAAGCCUCCCUAAUUUAAGUUAGGUCAAGGUUUAAGGGAUCCAGGAAAGGAUUAAAACCAAAAAAAGAUAAGGGGCGAAUAGGGAACUUUUAAGUUGGUCAAGGUUUAAGGGAUCCAAGGAAAGGAUUAAAACCCAAAAAAAGGAUAAGGGGCGAAUAGCUAACUUUCCGGUUCCGGAAAGGAUUAAGGGUCUGAAAGAAGACCCAAAGAUCCCUAAUAAGUUUAAGGAUCCAAGGUUUAAGGAGGUCUGAAAGAAGACCCAAAGAAGGUCAAGGGUUUGAAAGAAGACCCAGUUUAAGGAUCCAAGGAAAGGAUUAAGAGUCUGAAAGAAGACCCAACCCAAAGAGGGUCAAGGGUCUGAAAGAAGACCCAAAGAGGAUCAAGGGUCUGAAAGAAGACCCAAAGUCCUAAGGGUCUGAAAGAAGACCCAAAGAGGAUUAAGAGGAUUAAGGGUCUGAAGGAAGACUUCGCCUAAUAAGUUUAAGUUGGUCAAGGUUUAAGGAUCCAAGGAAAGGAUUAAGGUCUGAAAGAAACCCAGAGAGGAUUAAGGGUCUGAAAGAAACCCAAAGAGGAUUAAGGGUCUGAAGGAAGACUUCGCCUAAUAAAUUUAAGUUGGUCAAGGUUUAAGGAUCCAAGGAAAGGAUUAAGGGUCUGAAAGAAACCCAAAGAGGAUUAAGGGUCUGAAAGAAGACCCAGAGAGGAUUAAGGGUCUGAAAGAGGACCCAAAGAAAGAAGGACCCAAAGAGGAUUAAGGGUCUGAAAGAAGAACCAAAGAGGAUUAAGGGUCAGAAAGAAGACCCAAGAGGAUUCCAAAGAGGAUUAAGGGUCAGAAAGAAGACCCAGAGAAGAUUAAGGGUUUGAAAGAAGAUCCAGAGAGGAGGAUUAAGGGUCAGAAAGAAGACCCAGAGAAGAUUAAGGGUUUGAAAGAAGAUCCAGAGAGGAUUAAGGGUCUGAAAGAAGACCCAGAGAGGAUUAAGGGUCUGAAAGAAGACCCAAGACCCAAAGAAAGAAGGACCCAAAGAGGAUUAACAGGGUUAAGGGUCUGAAAGAAGACCCAAAGAGGAUUAAGAGGAUUAAGGGUAUGAAAGAAGACCCAAAGAGGAUUAAGGGUCUGAAAGAAGACCCAAGAGGAUUAAGGGUCUGAAAGAAGACCCAAAGAGGAUUAAGAGGAUUAAGGGUCAAGGGUCUGGAAGAAGACCCAAAGAGGGUCAAGAGUCUGAAAGAAGACCCCAAGAGGAUUAAGAGGAUUAAGAGGAUUAAGAGGAUUAAGG